ACAUGGCCAACGUUGGUCAAAGUGUAGUAUCGGUUCGUAUCAGCUUAAUAUCUGUUAUGGGUUCUAUUUGGACCCAAGAUAUUAAAUUUAUUUCUGGAAGUUUGCGGAGUGUUUCAAGCCUGCUUCAACUCUGUCGCUGCUCGAGCCAGUGUUGCACUAUCUCACGGUUUCUUGGAGACCUAGA